rnacentral:rRNA from 1 species
UACGUAGGGUGCAAGCGUUAAUCGGAAUUACUGGGCGUAAAGCGUGCGCAGGCGGUUGGCAAAGUCAGCUGUGAAAGCCCCGGGCCUAACCUGGGAAUUGCGAUGAAGACUGCAAGGCUAGAAUCUGGCAGAGGGGGGUAGAAUUCCACGUGUAGCAGUGAAAUGCGUAGAGAUGUGGAGGAACACCGAUGGCGAAGGCAGCCCCCUGGGUCAAGAUUGACGCUCAUGCACGAAAGCGUGGGGAGCAAACAGG